rnacentral:lncRNA from 1 species
UUGUGCCUCUUUUAAUUUAUAUUAUUUUUUAUAAAAUAAAAAACUAUAUAAAAUAAUGAUAUUCUUGUAGCAAAGAAAAACAAAUUAUACAAAAGAAAAAUUUGAUCAAUGAUCCCCACACGAUCAUAAGAUAAUAAUAUAUGGUGGUGUUACAAUACAACUAUGGUUAUUGACGGUGAUUCACAUUUGUUCUUCAUUAGCGUAGGAUGGUGUUUUGAGUAAUAUCUUAGAAUGAGAAUUGUGUAUCUAAUUUUGCAGUUGGGUUCUCUAUAUAUAGAUUUUCUAGAGCUAGAAGAAAGUGUAAAUUUGAUGGUAAAACCCUCAUGGAUCAAGGCCUGGUACUCGUUCGAUUGAUUUGUCGGCUUAGAUUGGUUCUUAACAGGGGCGCUCCUGAGGGGGUGCAAACAGCUCAAACGAGCUAGGUCUCCCUUAAGGAUGGGCCUCAAUUUUUUUAUUUUUUUUUAUAUCCAGUAUAAUAUAUAUCCUCCAAUAAUUUUUUUUUUUUUAUUUCAUUCCCUCAUGUAUACGGUAGUCAUUUUCACCUCUGGAUGUACCGCAUAUAUAUGACACCUUGUAUUUAUCUUUUAAAAAAUAUAAAUAGAACAUUGCUCUUUAA